UAUGUUAACAAAUUCCUUGCAUCUUUAAUUACUUGCUCAACUGCAUAGAGUAUCAUCUUCUUUAUCUGAUUACCACCACAACAAAGAGGAAAAUAAAUUGCUUAGGAGAAGGAAAUAAAAAGGAAGAAAAAAAUGGCACAAAAUGAAUAAAAGAGUAUUACCUCAAGUUUGUCUUCUCGGGCUCUAUGGUUCUUCGGCAGAAGUCUGAACUCCUGAGUUAAACGCAGGCACUCAUGAAUGUUUUCAGGAGAGACAAAGUCCACAGCUACUUUUGUACAUGACUGACAUGCAUACAACAUUUGUCAGAUAACUAGAACAAGAAACCAACUUGUUUGCGAAUGGCAACGAAAUUCAAACCUUGAGAUUUCUGACUUGGUGUGGGCAUCCAGCAGGAAUGAAUACAGCCUCUCCAAGUUUUUGUUCAAAGUUAAAUAAAAACACUGAUCAUGGAUCGGAUGAACGACCUGUGAUAAUAAACAAGCAUAACUGUUAGAAAACUGCCACCCAGAUAUCGUGCCAAACAGUAACUCUGAUUCAAGCAAGUAACCUGUUCUACUGGGGAGCAAUAUGUGUGCCUGAAUUCUUUGACGUGCUUUCUAAGAUAUGCCUCUAACUUGGGAACGUCCUCCCUUCUGAAAAUGUCCCACAAAGCACCGCCUGAUUCCUCUGUAAUCCCUUCUGUAUUAUUAUUAUUAUUAUUACCACUGGUGCCUUCACCAA